rnacentral:lncRNA from 1 species
GGGGGAAAAAACCAGAAAAGGUGAAAAUAAAAAAAAUAGGCAUAGAUGAUGAUAGAACGAAAGUGGAAGUUACCCCUCCGACACCCAUUCUGAAAGCCAUAGCUAUGCAGCAGCAGCAGCAGCAGCUACAGUGUGAAAAGUCAAGAAAUUAUACGGAUUUGUAGAGAGAGGAAAUUGUGUGGAGACUGAAAAAGGGAAAAUGCAAAGCCACCACACCAAGGCAGAAAAAAUGGUUAAAAAAAAUAAAAUAAAAUAAAAUAAUUGUGUAUUAAGAAUAUAAAGUAAAAUAGACUUUCC